AGCGUGCCCCGCGCUAAGUCAAGAUGGCGGCGCUCUCCGCGGCGGGCGGGGAGAUGGGGUGUAACGGGGGACAGUGGGGCCGGAUGGCGGCGGUGGGUCAGCGCGGCGCCUGCGCCUCCCACAGCCCCCGGGGGAAGCUUCCGUGCCGGCGGGAUGGAGGCGAGCGCUGGUGAAGUGCGCUUGGGUGGUGCGCGGCUUGGCCGGGGCUCGUCUGGAUGAGACCCGGUGAAGUGAAGGUGUAUAUACACAGGUACAGGUCACAGGCAGGUCUGUGGGCCUGUUCACUUGGAAAAACACCCCCAAUUCCCAAUCCUUGCUGGUGAUUGUGUGGAAUACCCGUGCUGUUGGCCUGUUUUGGGGCGAAAAGGGGCUGAGGGAAGCCCGUUGGAGCGCUGGUGCUGUGGGAACGGCCCCUUGGUCCGUGCCCUCCCGCGAGGAGCUGCCUGCACGGCCAGGGCAGCAGUUCUCAGGCACAUCACUGCCGGGAGAGCCACACACAGAGUCCCAGCUCUGCAUCUGAACCCUCCACUGAAUCCUGCUGAGCUGAGGCUGUGUCCUGCAGCCCUGUCCUGCCUCCUCCUGCAUUGCCACAGCACAAGAUGCUCCCUGUGAGCCAGUGGCAUCCAGGAAUCCAGCAGGUUGGAGCUGCAGCCUUGUAGCCGUGUGGAGAGGAGGAUGGUGCUGGCUGUGGUGAAGGAGGAAGGACUCGAGUGUCUUGGUGGUGCAAGAGCCAGAAGGUCACUGGAAGCAGAGGAAACAGGGUCCAAAGUGCAAAAAAGGAGCUGGAGAGGAAACCUGAAGCGAGGUAAAUGCUCUUCCUGUGCUGCACGUUGGGGCGGUAUCGAUGAGGAAGCCCCACAGCACUCGCUGGCAGCGGCUGGAUGCUGCCCCAUGGAUGGUCCCAGCUUCGCAGCGUGCUGGGAAGGUGCCAUCCCAGCUCUGCCACAGCUUCCUUCCUCCUUGUGGAGGCAGAAAUCGUCCUGCUCCCAUGAAGCCACCGUCACAUCGUCACUUCCCAGCUCAAGUCCAAGCCCGGUCACAGCCGGGACAUGUGGCCCGUGGUGCUGCCGUGGUGGUUCCUCCCGUGCCCACGGCACUGCCGGGCUGGGAAGGGGCUCAAUCCGUGUUUCUCCUCGGUGAGCAGUGGCUACACCUCGGUGGAGUACUCCAUCAUGCUGGGGGGAAAGCAGCGGGCUCAGUGGAGGGGAGCUGGCUGAUGGGGAAGCAAUGGGGAGGUGUGGGAACAGGGUGUUUGCCAAAAAUAAAUGGAGAAGGGAUGACACACUGAUGGUGAAGCCCUGUUUGUGGGAAUCCCUCCAUCAAUGGGAAGCCAGGGAAUGAGGGCUGAAUGGUGGGAGCGUGGUGCUCCCUGAGCCCUGCUCAGCUCUGCUGGUGCCUGGCCUUUGGGGUGGCAGCAGGGACGGGGUGACAUGAGCAGGGCUCAGCCCGUGGGGGACAGCAGCACCAGGGCGGCCCAGCCUGUGUCUCUUGGUUACAUCAGUUCUGUUUCCAGUUGAAAGACUUAAUGUGGGGUUUUUUAAAGUUGAAAUGGAAAAUUUGGGCAAAACUGUGUCUUGUUUUAACUUGGAGCAUUUCUUUUUCUGAAGGAAAAGCCCAAGUGGAGCAGCCCCUUCCUCUGGUGAGCACUAAAGGGUGAACACCUCCCAUGGGACUCAUUUCCCUGGCCUUGAGUGCCUGCAACCUGGGUGCCUGAGCUAGGGGACGUCGGGGAUGUACCAGGCUGCAAUCAGCUUCACGCACAGAGCCACGUGCUGCACAGAGCAAGGGGCAGUGAGGAGCUGCCCGGGCCCAGCCCCUUCCCCGGCCACCGUUCCUCCCCGUUCACCCCAGCCUCCCCCUGGGUGCUCACCUCAAAGAGGAUGAGGAAGGCGAGCCGGGCCGCGAAGAUGUGCCAGAACUGCACCGUGUAGCUGUAGUCAUCGGCGUUCCUGUAGUCCCGGUACCUGCAGCACAGCCCCGUGGGUGCCAGCGCAGACCCCCCGUGCCCUGCAUCCUGCCUGGGCUCCUCCGUGGCACCCGAGAGGAGCUGCCUCCCAGCCCUGUCCCACCACCGCAUGUUCCCCGGCUCCAGGCUGGAUGUCCUGGUGAGGGGCUCGGGAAUGCCGCUGGGCGAUGGCUUUGGGCUGCUGUUACCUGCACUCUGUGAUGUUGGUGGUGGCG